rnacentral:rRNA from 1 species
GACGAACGCUGGCGGCGUGCUUAACACAUGCAAGUCGAACGGAAAGGCCCUGCUUUUGUGGGGUGCUCGAGUGGCGAACGGGUGAGUAACACGUGAGUAACCUGCCCUUGACUUUGGGAUAACUUCAGGAAACUGGGGCUAAUACCGGAUAGGAGCUCCUGCUGCAUGGUGGGGGUUGGAAAGUUUCGGCGGUUGGGGAUGGACUCGCGGCUUAUCAGCUUGUUGGUGGGGUAGUGGCUUACCAAGGCUUUGACGGGUAGCCGGCCUGAGAGGGUGACCGGCCACAUUGGGGCUGAGAUACGGCCCAGACUCCUACGGGAGGCAGCAGUGGGGAAUAUUGCACAAUGGGCAGAAGCCUGAUGCAGCAACGCCGCGUGCGGGAUGACGGCCUUCGGGUUGUAAACCGCUUUCGCCUGUGACGAAGCGUGAGUGACGGUAAUGGGUAAAGAAGCACCGGCUAACUACGUG